rnacentral:rRNA from 1 species
CGUAGCUAACGCGUUAAGUAUCGCGCCUGGGGAGUACGCACGCAAGUGUGAAACUCAAAGGAACUGACGGGGGCCCGCACAAGCGGUGGAGUAUGUGGUUUAAUUCGAUGCAACGCGAAGAACCUUACCAAGGCUUGACAUGUCGCGAAUCUUCUUGAAAGGGAAGAGUGCCUUCGGGAGCGCGAACACAGGUACUGCAUGGCUGUCGUCAGCUCGUGUCGUGAGAUGUUGGGUUAAGUACCGCAACGAGCGCAACCCUCGUUUUUAGUUGCCAGCAUUAAGUUGGGCACUCUAGAGAGACUGCCGGUGACAAACCGGAGGAAGGUGGGGAUGACGUCAAGUCAGCAUGCCCCUUACGCCUUGGGCUACACACGUAGAGGGCAGCAAG